rnacentral:SRP_RNA from 1 species
CGGGUAAGUCCUAUACGACCAGCUCCCUUAGAAUCCCCCAGGGUUUGAUCGCAGCAAGGGUAAUUUGGUUGUAGCGGUGCGAUGUAGAUUGCUUGCCCGC